UUAAUACCACUUCAAAACGACUAACAAAUACCUAUACAGUUCCUGCGUAUUAGGAAAAAGUAAUAAAAAAUUAGACAUCAACACUUCAUUAAGCUUUAUCACCUCGACUAUGAUUAAAGAUCACGGGUAGUUAUGCCUAAUCGCCUGUGCAGUGUAGCGCUCGAUAUAAACAAAUGCAGGGCGUUUUGUUGGUCACUUCGUCCAGGAUGCUGCUUCAAAAUUGGUUCCUGUUAUUCCUGUUAGUCGCAGUGUUCGAGGCGAGCUGCUCAAGUGCGCUGACUCAAGUGCGCAUGCGGCCUGUUGCCAUGACAAGGCGCCUACUCAGGAAACGCCCGAUCAUCAUACGAUUAACCAACUAAAUGUAAACUAACGACCACUUUAAGCUAAAUUUGUGCCUUAAAUGAAAAUUAUAUCCUAAUUGAUCUC